GCAAGUCGAACGAGAAGCCCUUCGGGGUGGAAAGUGGCGAAAGGGUGAGUAACGCGUGAGUAACUUGCCUCCGAAUCGGGGAUAACAGUUGGAAACGACUGCUAAUACCGGAUGUGACUAUUGAAUCGCAUGUUUUAAUAGUUAAAGAUCUUUUGUUCGGAGAUAGGCUCGCGUCCCAUUAGUUUGUUGGUAAGGUAACGGCUUACCAAGACUUUGACGGGUAGGUGGUCUGAGAGGAUGGUC
rnacentral:rRNA from 1 species